rnacentral:lncRNA from 1 species
UUACCUACCUAAAAUAAACCCAAACGACCCCCUUAUCCUAAAUCAUUUCCACCAACCCACCGCCCUUGAAUCCCUUCCUCUUCAAUUCUCUCAGUAACCUCACCUAAACCCUAGCCGCCGCCACCCAAACCUACCCUAAUCCCCUUUGAUUUUCACCUAAUCCACGGACUCCCAUGGUUGUUUGAGAGGUGUACCGGUCUCCUAUGGCUCCUGGUUGUUUAUUUCCAUGAUUUCAUGGACAGAUAAAGAGAUCUAGUCUAGUCUUGGCUCGACUUCUAUCCAUGGCCUCUUUCCGGCCAUCAAUGGUUGUUCGAGUUAGAUCCUUGACUUUUCUGGCUAGAUCGGUAACUUUUCAAAGUCUUUCUCACUUUUUCUGGGUUCUCUGAAACCCUAGAUUUAAGAGCUUUCUGAUUUUCUUUUAGAUCUGUCUUAGAUCUAUGCAUGUUAUGAACUUCUUGGUGUUUUCUCAAAGGUUCUUCGAUUUUCCUUCAAAGUGACUCUUCGUUUUCAAAUUAGGGUUUCUUAAACUCUUUUUAAAAGAUCGCUCCUUUGAUUUUCAAUGUUGUUUUAUGAUUUCACUAUGUUUAAACGGUUUGUUCAUGCUGUUCUUCUACCUGGUUCAUCGUGUUAAAACCCUAGGUAUUUUUGGUUUUAUCCGGGUUUUGUAGCUGUCUUUGCUUGUUUGUAUGAAUACUUGUUUCGAUUAAGUUCUUUAUGUUUGGAUCCUCUUCUUUGUUGAUUGAUUCAGAGUUCUUACCAUUUUUUAACUCGACUACUAUUAAAAUCCUAAUUUCUUAAAAGGGUUUUCCUCACUCAUUACUAUGAGGUUAAAGGUUUCUUUAAGUGUUUCUGACCUUCUUACCGGUUAGUUUGGUUUUUUCACUCUGGUUCUAUGUGACUACUCGACUUUGUUGACUAAUGUGCUUCGAGUAGGUUUCUUUUACUACUGAAUCCUAGCCUACUCCUACUACUACUGUAUGUUUGUGUUGCUUCUUCUGGCAAUAUGGUUGGCCUUGCAUGUCUGAUACUCUUGAUCAUUCUUCUCUAUUUAUAUGGCAAAGUGCAGAAUCAUAAUUCAUUCUUGAUUUAUCUUGAUUUCCUCAAGUUACGACUGAUUGCAAAUAUUUUCUCAUAAACCCCUGGUUUCACUCGUUUUGUUUGAAUUGAUUGAUUCCUUCCCUUUGUUGUGCUAUUUUACCUUUGCUGAACCCUUUACCCAAUUAAGUAUAUUUUGUAUUUAGACUCAAUUAUUUACUCUAUACUUUUAAUAUCCCCCAUAUAGUCAGAAAUCAAUCUUUCUCAAAUUAGUUUUCUUUCCUUAAUUAUUCCUGCCAGUAUCCGUUUGAACAGUAAUUCCUUAAUUAAAGGAAAGUACUUGUAUUAAUUGAUUCUAAUUGUGAUUAUUUCCAUGUUUGUGUUAAAACUCUACUUGUUACCUUAUUUUUCUACUCGUUUUCAAAGCUAUAAAUACCCUAUCCUCUCUUCUCUAAAGACACGAACUACUGAGUUCAGAACACACACUUACACACUCAAAACUCUUUCUUUCUCAACUUCUACUUGUGCUACUGCUUUGUCUAGCAAGCUGAAAACCAAGGCUAGACUGUGGAAUCCUACUUGCUUUACCUUUCUACACCUUGCUUUCUCUACUCGUAUGUCCUAGUUUAAUGUUAAAGCUUCAACAACAACAUGCUUCUUUAAUUUAUUUCAGCUUCUUUCAUUUUUUGUCUACUCCUGCUUGUAGUUCUGUUAAGAUGCAUUACUAGCAUAUUAUAAUGUAUCCCUUUCCCCUUUAGAUUAAUGCACUUCCCCUAUGUGUGUUUCAAGGCAUACUAUGUCAGUCACUUAUUGUGUACUUGCUAUCCCAAGUCCCUAUCCCUUCAAUGUGCUUAUAUUCUUUCUGACUAGCAUGUGAUCAUGCCAGUAUCAACUAUUGCUGUGCAUAUCCAACUAGUCCUAAGACCCUGGGGGGGGGGGGGGGGGGGGUUAUGUGUUUACAAUUAAAUGUAUGUGUGUCCCAAACCCCUUGACCCCCCUUGUAUAACUACUAAUUCUGUGUGUGAUCCCAUCUUGGGAGUUUGAGUUUUGUUUACUAUUACAACUGCUUUCAGGCAGGACAUGGUACGAGUGCAGAUUUUCGAGGACAUAGCCCUUGAUAGGAAGGCCUGGAGGUCAAGCAAUAGGGUUGUAAGAUAGGGGUAGUAAAGCUUCCCUUACUUGAUACCGGGGGUGAGGCGGGGUUGGAUUAGGGUUGAUCUUAGAUGGCUUGCAGUUUAUGUUGAAUCCACACUAUUCUUGAUGUUUAUCUUAAGCCCAAGCCUUAAAUUCUGGUUACUGUUAAUGCAUGUCAUUCAUCUUUUGGUUUUUAUGCUUCUGUUACUAUUACGGUUUCUACUGGUGUUACUAAUGAAUUCUCUUUUCUUGUUUUUUAUUUUAUUUUCAUCUCUCUGAGCCGAGGGUCUAUCGAAAAUAGUCUCUCUACCCCUAUCGGGGUAGGGGUAAGGUCUGUGUACACAUUACCCUCCCCAGACCCCACUAUGCGGGAUUUUACUGGGUAGUUGUUAUUGUUGUUGUUGUUGUACAACUGCUUUCAAUCACCUCUGUUACUGAUUACUUUCAAAAUGGACUUGCAAGUUCAGUUUUGAAAACAAACUCUCUUCCAAACUAUGUCAAGCACUCUCACCUACUCUUAGAAUCUAGGUUCUGCCCCUUUUGUGCGAGCCUUGCCUUGGGACCCUUGAGUUCCCUCUAGACUUGGACACAUAAGAGCUGGCCCUUCCACACUGCACUCAUUCUAUUUGGUUAUGCAAAUCUGGGUGUGAGCAUUGCCCGGGAUCCUUUGAGGUCCUUAGGAAACUCUGACACACUCAGAUAUGAGAAAGGCUUUGGAACGAUAUUGGCUUUUGAGGUGGUUCAUUACAUAACUCAGAGAGGAAGUCAAGAUCAGGC